UAUAAAAAUAAACUUUGGGGUUUCUUUUUGUUUUUGUUUCUGAAAAAGGCUCUCAUGUAUUUCAGGCUGGGCCCAAACUCACUAUAUAGCACAGGAUGACGACAGGACUUCCGAUUUCUCCUCCACCCCCUCCCAAGAACUGAGAUCACAAGAAUGUACCACCAUAAGCGGUUUUGUGUGUGUGUUGGAGAGAUGGUUCAGAACUUAAGAGCAUAUGUUGGUCUUCUAGAGGAUAGGAAUUCAUUUCCCAGAACCCAAGCCAGGUGGCUCACAACCACAUGUAACUCUAACCCCCCAAGAUCCAGUAUCUGGCCUCUUCAGACACCUUUACUCACAUGCACAUAUCAACACUUAAAUGCACAUAAUUUAAUUUAUUCCAGGAAGAAAAAGUUCUAAAAAUCAAGACACUGCUCACCAGAAUUUAAAAUAAAUAAAUAAAUAAAAAUCAACCAACACUAUGAAACACAACACUAUGAAAGAGGAAAAGUUCCACUCAAAACACAUCAUUAAGCUGGGUAUGGUGGCGCAUGCCUGGUCUACAAAGUGAGUUCCAGGACAGCCUGGGCUAUACAGAGAAACCCUGUCUCAAAAACACC
rnacentral:lncRNA from 1 species